rnacentral:lncRNA from 1 species
GCGGGACUAUCGGUUCCCUAGGUUACCUGUGUGAUUGACAUCGCGCAUCCUGCAGCUUAUCGCGGCAGCGUAUCUCGGAUGGUCCCGCUCCCACCCCCUCUCCACCUCCUCCUGGUGACUGUGGAGAAAUCUGGAAGAGAGAGGAGAGACGCGGAGAACAGAGGAACAACAGCAAGGCUGAUUCUUUAAAGUUCUUCUCUCUCUUUCCAUACCGGCAAGAUGCACACUGGAGUGCUGGAGGAAGCUGGAUGAAAGGAGCCGAAAAGGGGGAUUCUUUAUUGGAGCAUGAUGAUGAAGUACCUGUCCAGUGAAGGAUCUCAACAUACAGCCCACAGAUUUAGCUAGGUCUCUCCAAGGAUACCUUUAUGAAGACACCAAUAAAAGUGCCAGCAAAUUAACUUCUACUAACAAAGCAGCAAACUGUCAGAAACAUGUCCAGCCUAGUGUUGUACCCAUAAGGCCUUGCUGCGGCCCCAUGGGUGGAAUUACCUGGAGGCAGAAAUGAUCCUGACCAAUAGCAGGCCGUCACCUGGGGAUAUAAUCUCCUUCCAUCACUGAUCUUCAGGUUGCGUUGGACCAAAGCUUCCCUGUGCCACCAUCUGAAACCAUAUUGGUGAACCCUUCAGGUAGGACAAAGUUUUUCUUUACCUUCUACUUUAUUUAAGCACCAGCAUCUCCACAUUAAUAUUAUAGACUAUCACAGUGAUGGAUGGUGAUAAAAGA